rnacentral:rRNA from 1 species
CGAGCGGUAGAGAUCUUUCGGGAUCUUGAGAGCGGCGUACGGGUGCGNNACACGUGUGCAACCUGCCUUUAUCAGGGGGAUAGCCUUUCGAAAGGAAGAUUAAUACCCCAUAAUAUAGUUGAUGGCAUCAUUGAUUAUUGAAAACUGAGGUGGAUAGAGAUGGGCACGCGCAAGAUUAGAUAGUUGGUAGGGUAACGGCCUACCAAGUCAGUGAUCUUUAGGGGGCCUGAGAGGGUGAUCCCCCACACUGGUACUGAGACACGGACCAGACUCCUACGGGAGGCAGCAGUGAGGAAUAUUGGACAAUGGGUGAGAGCCUGAUCCAGCCAUCCCGCGUGAAGGACGACGGCCCUAUGGGUUGUAAACUUCUUUUGUACAGGGAUAAACCUUUCCACGUGUGGAAAGCUGAAGGUACUGUACGAAUAAGCACCGGCUAACUCCGUGCCAGCAGCCGCGGUAAUACGGAGGGUGCAAGCGUUAUCCGGAUUUAUUGGGUUUAAAGGGUCCGUAGGCGGAUCUGUAAGUCAGUGGUGAAAUCUCAUAGCUUAACUAUGAAACUGCCAUUGAUACUGCAGGUCUUGAGUAAGGUAGAAGUAGCUGGAAUAAGUAGUGUAGCGGUGAAAUGCAUAGAUAUUACUUAGAACACCAAUUGCGAAGGCAGGUUACUAUGUCUUAACUGACGCUGAUGGACGAAAGCGUGGGGAGCGAACAGGAUUAGAUACCCUGGUAGUCCACGCCGUAAACGAUGCUAACUCGUUUUUGGGUUUUCGGAUUCAGAGACUAAGCGAAAGUGAUAAGUUAGCCACCUGGGGAGUACGAACGCAAGUUUGAAACUCAAAGGAAUUGACGGGGGCCCGCACAAGCGGUGGAUUAUGUGGUUUAAUUCGAUGAUACGCGAGGAACCUUACCAAGACUUAAAUGGGAAUUGACCGGUUUAGAAAUAGACCUUCCUUCGGGCAAUUUUCAAGGUGCUGCAUGGUUGUCGUCAGCUCGUGCCGUGAGGUGUUAGGUUAAGUCCUGCAACGAGCGCAACCCCUGUCACUAGUUGCCAUCAUUCAGUUGGGGACUCUAGUGAGACUGCCUACGCAAGUAGAGAGGAAGGUGGGGAUGACGUCAAAUCAUCACGGCCCUUACGUCUUGGGCCACACACGUAAUACAAUGGCCGGUACAGAGGGCAGCUACACAGCGAUGUGAUGCAAAUCUCGAAAGCCGGUCUCAGUUCGGAUUGGAGUCUGCAACUCGACUCUAUGAAGCUGGAAUCGCUAGUAAUCGCGCAUCAGCCAUGGCGCGGUGAAUACGUUCCCGGGCCUUGUACACACCGCCCGUCAAGCCAUGGAAGUCUGGGGUACCUGAAGUCGGUGACC